AAUGGAAGCCAGGGCCACAGGGCUACCCUGAGCUUGCCAAUUUUGUCUGAUCUCAAGCAAAGCACAGUUGAACCUGGUUGGUACUUAGAUGGUAGACCACCAGGAAAAUACCAAGAGUUUCCAGGC
rnacentral:rRNA from 1 species